GGGCCUAUAGCUCAAUUGGUAGAGCGGACAACUCAUAAUUGUACCGGUUGGGGGUUCGAUUCCCUCUGGGCCCACCA
rnacentral:tRNA from 1 species